rnacentral:rRNA from 1 species
AUGAGUUCUUCUCUGUUCGCCGCGAGCGCCAUGGAGGCUCCGAUGAGCUCUUCCCUGGGUGCCAUGGGCCCCCUUCUCAGGAAGCUGCAUGCGCUGCUGGCCCCCGACUACCGGCUGCCCAAGCCACUGAAGCACGGAAUCGAGCUCCUCAAGGAAGAUCUCGAAGAAUUAAGCGCCGACCUGUUGGAGCAGUCAAUGGCGGAUACCCCCAACCACAAGGCAGUAUACUGGAUGGAUGAGGUGCGUGAACUUUCCUAUGAAGCAGAGGACUGCAUCGACGACAUGAUGCUGAGGCACACCGGCGACGGCGCCAAGACCAGACCCGUCCGCAGCCACAGGGUCAGUCGUGUCAAGGUGUCUCGGCUUUUCAAGUCGAUCAAGCCGCGCACAAGGGUUUCCAAGAUCGCAGAGCUCAGGACCCUGGUGCUGGAGGCAAGUGAACGGCGUGAGAGGUAUCAUCUUGAUGACUGUGCCUCGAGUUCUAGCCGUGUGUUCACUGGGCACAAUCGGGUUCCAGGCCUAUAUGGACAGCUGACGGGUUUCCUUGUUGGUGUCGAUGACCUGAAGAUUAAGCUUACCAAGUGGCUUACUGAGGAUGCUGAUCAGCAACUGAAAGUGAUGUGUAUAGAUGGACCUGCAGGGGUUGGCAAGACCACGCUGGCGAAACAGCUGUACCGUGAGCUUGGAGAGCAGUUUGACUGCUGGGCUUUUGUGCGGGCAUCGCGGAUGUCAGACACAAAGAGACUACUCGGGGACAUCCUCUCUCAAGUUCAGCGUUGUCGACUGCCCUCUUAUUCCUGCGAGGUGCAAAAUCUCAUUGACAAUCUCAUGAAAUAUCUCCAAGAUAAGAGAUACUUUAUAGUCAUUGAUGAUCUGUGGGAAACAACAACAUGGGAUAUUGUUAAAAGCGCUUUUCCGGAUGGUAAAAAUUACAGUAGAAUAAUAACAACAGCAGAAACUGACAGUGUAGCUCUGGAAUGUUGUGGUUAUCAGUCUGAUAAUAUUUUGAAAAUGAAACCCCUUGGCAGCCAUGCCUCUGCAGAAUUGUUCUUCAGUAUUGUUUUUGGCUCUGAACAUCGGUGUCCUGAUCAAUUGAAGGAAGUUUCAGAUAGAAUCAUUAGAAAGUGUGGUGGUUUGCCACUAGCAACCAUCUGUAUUGCUGGUCUCUUAGCAAGUCAGAUGGAUAACUCUGAGCUAUGGCAUCAUCUGCAGAAAUGUUUAUGCUCCAAAUUAAGUACAAGUCCUACUUUGGAAGAGAUGCUGAAAGAAGUACUAAACCUUAGCUACAGUAGUCUUCCUUAUUAUUUGAAGACAUGCUUGCUGUAUCUUACUAUGUAUCCGGAGGGGUACACGAUGUGGAAGGUUGAUUUGUUGAAGCAAUGGAUAUCUGAAGGUUUCAUUACUGCAAAGGAAGAAAAAGAGGUAGAGGAAAUGGCAGAUAGCUAUUUUUAUGAGCUUGUCAACAGGGGAAUGAUCCAACCUGAGCAAAUUAACCAUAAUGAUGAGGUGUAUUCCUGUACAAUGCACCACACUGUACGUGAUCUUAUUAUGUACAAGUCCAAAGAAGAGGAUUUUAUCACUUCCAUAGAUUAUUCAAAAGCCAUCACAGGAAAUUCUAAUAUGGUCCGUCGACUUUCUCUCCACUUUAGCAGUGCCAAAUAUGCGACCAAGCCAUCAGGUGUAAUACUGUCGCAAUCGCGAUCACUUUUCUUUUUUGGACUUCUCAGAUGUUUGCCUUCUGAUGUGGAGUUUAAGUUGCUGCGAGUUCUGACCCUUGAGUUUUGGGGUAACCAAUAUGGGCAUACAAGUCUCAACCUCACAAGAAUUUGCAGUUUGGUUCACCUCAGAUAUUUGAAGAUUUCAUGCGAUAUGAUUGUAGAACUACCAGCCCAGAUGCAAGGACUACGAUACAUGGAAACACUGGAAAUAAAUGCAAGAAUAUCUUCUGUUCCAUUGGAUAUCAUUGAUCUCCCGGGCUUAUUGCAUCUAUCUCUUCGAGAUGAGAGAAAUCUACCUGAUGGGAUUGGCCGCAUCAGAUCUCUGCGUACACUACAGUAUUUUGACCUUGGCAAUAACUCUGAAGACAAUGUACUGAGCCUUUGUGGCUUGAUGAACCUGCAAUAUCUUCAUCUCACCUAUUCCACAGUGCAGUCUGAUGAGCAUCUGAAGAGAAACAUGGUAGCUUUGGCCUCUUCUGUUAUCAAGCUUGUUAACCUCAAAUCUGUCAUUCUGGCUCCUGGAGCUUUAAGCACAGCCAUUUACCAUGAUGUCUUGAGCAGCGUUUCCUCUCCUCCCGUCUUUCUUCAGGGUCUUCAGAGACUUGAUUUGUUGCCCCCAAUUUGCAUGUUUUCCAGGGUUCCCAAGGAUAUUGGAGCAGUUCGCAAACUUUGCUAUUUGAGUCUUGUGGUCCGUGAACUACGAAGGAAUGAUAUUGACAGCAUCACAGGAUUGCCUGCCCUCACUGUUCUUUCAUUGUAUGUCCGGCAACCCCCUGCAGAAAGCAUCAUCUUCAACAAUGGGGUGUUCCCUGCUCUCAAGUAUUUCAAAUACAUGUGCGGUGUACUGUGCCUGGUCUUCCAGGAAGGAGCAUUGCCCAAUGUUCAUAGGCUCAAGCUAGGUUUCAAUGCCCGCAAAGGACAGCAGUAUGAUGUUUUGCUUGCCGGCAUUCAGCACUUGAUAAACCUGAAGAAGAUUGAUGGAAUAAUUGGGGCAGCCAAGGGUGCUGAGGAACCCGACAGAGGUGCUGCAGAGUCUGCGUUCAAGGACACCAUUCACAAGCAUUCAAGGUUUCCUAGUUACGUCAACGUAAAAAGGGUAGAUUGGGUUGAGGAAGAGAACGAGCCAAGGACCGAAGUUAACAGCUCAUCAAGUAAAUGUCAUGAAAUUCUACAAGAACAGCGUGGGGUAAAUGAGACCGAGGAAGAUACAAAGCAGUUUGCUGAUAGCGGGGUGACAAAUCAGAUCAUGCAGGUGUCUCCUCAGCAUAUGGAUUUAUGCGCAGUCGAUACAAAGCUGACUAUGCCUAGUAAUAACAGAAUGUCAUUUCCUGAAAAGUUAGAUGAUAGUAUUGCAGCUGAAGCAGUGAGCUUUUCAUGUACUACAUCAUCUGGUUCGAGUCCAAAAUCAUCGUCAGCUCCAUCAUCUCAUCACUCUUUACCUGAAACAUAUACAUGGGAUCCGGAGGGAUCUCCUUGGUCAAGGGCAUUGAGCAGUCCUUCUCUUACGCCAAGGAAUACCAGUGCCCCUCAAUCAGCUAUGCAUCCGAUGUUAUCCCCAGAAGAUCAUAUUUCACGCACUGAAGGCACCUGGAGUACUGCAAUUCACCCCUUACCACUUCCUCCCAGUGCUAUAAGCCAAGUGAAAGCAACUCUCAGCAACCAACCCGCUCCAAAAGUUGAAAUGUCCUUAGUAGCUGGUCAAUGGGAAAAGAGAAAACUUAUAGGCAGUGGUACAUUUGGUGAUGUAUAUGAAGCUACCAACAGGCAUACUGGAGCUCUUUGUGCAGUGAAAGCGAUCAGUAUUCCUAAUGAUUCUAAAUCUGCUGAGUCCUUGAAGCAAUUAGAUCAGGAAAUAAAGCUUCUAAGCCAAUUUAAGCAUGAGAACAUAGUUCAGUAUUAUGGUAGCGAAACUAUAGAAGGCCACCUCUACAUUUACAUGGAGUAUGUUCAUCCUGGUUCAAUUAAUAAGUAUAUCCAACAACAUUGUGGAGCAAUAACAGAAUCGAUUGUCUGCAACUUCACUCACCAUAUUCUUAGGGGUUUAGCAUUUUUGCAUGGCCAAAAUAUUAUGCAUAGGGAUAUCAAAGGAGCAAAUGUGCUAAUUGAUGGUAACGGUGUUGUUAAAUUGGCUGACUUUGGAACGGCUAAGCAUGUGAGUGCAUCCUUACAAUGUUUGGUAGCAUCUUCAUAUUGUACUGUAUUGUGUCUCCUUUUUAAGGGUACCUUUUAUUUUCCGUUUUGUCUUAGAAGUGCGUCAAGAUGA